CCUCUAUAGAGUGUGAGAUUUGCAAGGGAGUCAGCAACUGCACAGGCGUGAGGGAGAUUUGUCCUGAAGAAUUCGAAGCCUGUUCCAGCUCUCUGCUUGAAAGCAGUAAAGUUAAGGAUGUAUUCAUGGCAAAGGGAUGUGCAAACCCUGAAAUCUGCCUUUUUGGUGUGAUCACUAUGACUGAUGGCAACAGGAGCCACAUAAGGCAGGUUGCCACCUGUUGCGA